GACAGAGGGUGCAAACGUUGCUCGGAUUGACUGGGCGUAAAGCGCGUGUAGGUGGUCUCGCCAGUCAGGUGUGAAAGCCCAGGGCUCAACCCUGGAAGUGCACCUGAUACUACGAGGCUUGAGUUCUGUAGAGGAGAGCGGAAUUCCCGAUGUAGAGGUGAAAUUCGUAGAUAUCGGGAGGAACACCAGUGGCGAAGGCGGCUCUCUGGACAGGUACUGACACUGAGACGCGAAAGCGUGGGUAGCAAACAGG
rnacentral:rRNA from 1 species